AGUUCAAUAUAAAGUCAUACUUAUGCAAAGAUUCGUUUAUUUCAUCUCUUAAUACUCCAUUUCUCAGAAAUGAGUACACCAGCUACCGUUAUUAUAGUUUCCAUUCAAUCUUAGAGUAUUUCGAUAAGCUUAAUACAAAACUUUCGUUUCGCGGGGAUAUUUCGAGAUGCGAGAAUUAUAAGUUUUGAGCACUGUAGGCCAAGCACAUGAUUGGCGCGACAGUAUCUCGCGAGAUAGACUACCCGUCUUUUUCUAACUGUAUUAAUUAAAGAGGGACGGGUAGUUUAUCUGGCCGCGAGAUACUGUCGCGCUAAUCAUGUGCUAGCCCGGCUGAUUGGCGUUUUGGUUGCCACUGCGCUGGAUAUCAAAUUGAAAUGGUUAAUACAGGAUGUAAAAAAAAAUGUGGGGAUCCGUUUAAGCAUAUGUUUUUGACGGGGAAAUAUUUUUUUUCUACUUUUUCCUAAGCAAACACAAUACCGAAUAAGCCCUAUUUUUUUACAUCCUGUAGCGCUCAGAUGAGCUCAGAUAACCUCAAGGUAUCUAAAAAUUUCUUACUAGAAAUAACAACUUGUGACACAUAUUUACAAAUUAUUGCAAUGUUAAAAUAAAAUUGGUACUCCAAACUUAUCAUUUUCGAUCUAAAUAGCCCCGCAAGACGAUAUUCAAAUUCAGUAAAACCCGCUUAAGACGAUGUAUAAACCGCGAAAACAGAAUUAAGCUGCAGUCUUGUGAAAAAAAGCGCUAUUACGCGGGCAAUCGUAUUAAGCGGGUUGAACUGUUUGGAUGGUAUUCCAUCUGUGCAAUUUCUUUGUCCAAUGUGGAUUGCAUCUCACUCUCUCAUUAAGCAAAAUGUGAGACGCAAAAACAAGGAUGAAGAUAUUGGACAGAUGGAAUACCAUCCUCAGGGCCACUUGCAUCAUUCACUAACCCGGGGUUAUCCGGUUAAACCUGGAUUACUAUGGUUACCAGUACAAUUUGACACUGGCUUAAUGGUUUAACCGCUAAACCCCGGGUUAGUUGGAUGGUGCAAGUGGGCCUAAGACUCGCAAGUCCCAAUGGCCAGCCAUGAAUCAAAGACAAAUGCUACAAUUUAGGACUUACACAUUCCAAUCGUGAGAUCACAUCAUAUAACUUCAUUCAGUUUCAUUCAUAGACAGAGAGAAUCAUACCAUACCUGUCUUUGUCUUACGCUAGUAUACUAGCACCCAUAAGAAAGGGAUGAGUAUAAUUUUCCUGGUUCUUACUGCAGACUAUAACCCUGGCCGCAGACGUUCGGAAUUAUGCGUACGAAUGACAAAUGGAAGCGAGACAUCGCUAUGCAUUUGUAGAGCGACGUCCCGUUCCCAGCUGUCAUUCCGUACGGAAUGAAAGUUCCGAACGUCUACAACCAGGGUUAUAAUCUGCAGUAAGAACCACGAAAAUUAUACUCAUCCCUUUCUUGUGUGUGCUAUAGUACUAGCGUAAGACAAAGACAGUACCUAGCUAUGAUUCUCUCUAUGUUUAUCCUUGGCGGAAUGACCGAGUUAUGUGUUUUAGUUUUGGUUAUAUCUUUCUGCUUCUAUUUUACCUGAAUGAAGUUCUCGGUAGACAUGACUUUAAAAAUGGACGUACAUUAUCGCGGAUGUCGCCGAUAUAGUUAGCUUAUUAGGGUGCAAAUACACUGAGUAGGAGCCAUAAGGGGUUAUUCCAAACCAAUUUAUUUAUUGCAUGUUCCUUAUACUUUAUAGGUGAUAUAAUUUAUAUGUACGAGAUUGCACUCAUUGCUAUAACUUUUACUAUAUGUAGAAGCAUACUUUGAAAUCACGGCAAAAAUGCUGGUCUUCAUACAAAUAUCGAACUGAACUUUAGUAUGGGACAUGGGCAAUUAAAUAGUGACUCGCGUUUUUUUCUAGCCGCUCUGAUGCGGUCACCGAAUCAAAGUAUGGGGUUGCCAGGCAACCAAAUCUUUUUGAUGCGGCGAAUGAGAAUCGACGCAGUGUAUUUGCGCCAUUAGCUUACAACGUAACACUAACAGCUUUGAAAUGCAUAACUAUAAUAUCACCGUGACAUCACAAGGACAACAACACAGCGUAAAUAUUAUUAGCGUAAAUAUUUUCGCUUGACACAGUUUGUAAACCUUAUACAUAUUAACUUCGCAAGUGUAUACUGUAUGUAUAUGAUUCAUAAUUGUUACAUAUUUGGCGUGACUUAUUUUUCAAAAGUGUUUUUCAAUAAGACACGUCAAGAUUACGAGGUUAAUACGAAAAGGAUUAUAAUUGACAUAACUUGUCCCUAGACCCGACAUUAUAAUUCUAAUCUUGUUUUUUUUUUAAACUAUAUUUUUUACAUUUUGUAAUAUUUACGCUGUGACAACAUAACAUCACAGAUAAAUAUUAGACAUAUUUUUGGCUCCAAUCUUUGAGCAAUCUCAGUCAAAACACACU